rnacentral:rRNA from 1 species
CCUACGGGUUGCAGCAGUGGGGAAUAUUGCGCAAUGGGCGCAAGCCUGAUGCAGCCAUGCCGCGUGUGCGAAGAAGGCCUUCGGGUUGUAAAGCACUUUCAGCGGGGAGGAAGGCGCCAAGGUUAAUAACCUUGGCGAUUGACGUUACCCGCAGAAGAAGCACCGGCUAACUCCGUGCCAGCAGCCGCGGUAAUACGGAGGGUUCAAGCGUUAAUCGGAAUUACUGGGCGUAAAGCGCACGCAGGCGGUCUGUCAAGUCGGAUGUGAAAUCCCCGGGCUCAACCUGGGAACUGCAUUCGAAACUGGCGGGCUAGAGUCUUGUAGAGGGGGGUAGAAUUCCAGGUGUAGCGGUGAAAUGCGUAGAGAUCUGGAGGAAUACCGGUGGCGAAGGCGGCCCCCUGGACAAAGACUGACGCUCAGGUGCGAAAGCGUGGGGAGCAAACAGGAUUAGAUACCCCCGUAG